UAUGACGGUACCCUUUCGAAUAAGAGGUUGCUAACUCUGUGCCAGCAGCAGCGGUAAUACAGAGACCUCGAGCGUUAUCCGGAUUUACUGGGCGUAAAGCGUCUGUAGGGGGUUUGUUAAGUUCCAAGUAAAAUCUUAAGGCUCAACUUUAAGUUCGCUUGGAAAACUAAUAAACUGGAGUCCAGCAGAGGUGCAUGGAACUUGCGGUGUAGGAGUGAAAUCCGUUGAUAUCGCAAGGAACACCAAAGGCGAAGGCAUUGCACUGGGCUGGUACUGACCCUGAGAGACGAAAGCGUGGGGAGCAAAACGGAUUAGAUACCCGUGUAGUCCACGCCGUAAACGAUGGAUACUAGAUGUUCGGGGAUUCGACCCCCUGGGUGUCACAGCUAACGCGUUAAGUAUCCCGCCUGGGAAGUACGGCCGCAAGGCUAAAACUCAAAGGAAUAGACGGGGAUCCGCACAAGCGGUGGAGCGUCUGGUUUAAUUUGAUAGUAAGCAAUGGACCUCACCAAGGUUUGACAUCCUAUGACAACCCUGGAAACAGGGCUUCCUUCGGGCAUAGUGACAGGUGCUGCAUGGUCGUCGUCAGUUCGUGCCGUGAGGUGUUCCGUUAAGUCGGGAAACGAACGAAACCCUCGUCGCAUGUUACAAAUUUCAUGCGAGACUGCCCGGGUCAACCGGGAGGAAGGCGGGGAUGACGUCAGAUCAGCAUGGCCCUUAUACCUUGGGCUACACAGGCGCUACAAUGGCCGGUACAAAGGGUUGCAAAACCGCGAGGUGAAGCUAAUCCCAUAAAGCCGGUCCAAGUUCGGAUUGGAGGCUGCAACUCGCCUCCAUGAAGUUGGAAUCGCUAGUAAUCGUGGAUCAGCCAUACCACGGUGAUACGUUCCCGGAUCUUGUACUCACCGCCCGUC
rnacentral:rRNA from 1 species